rnacentral:rRNA from 1 species
ACGAACGCUGGCGGCGUGCUUAACACAUGCAAGUCGAACGGAAAGGCCCUGCUUUUGUGGGGUGCUCGAGUGGCGAACGGGUGAUUAACACGUGAGUAACCUGCCCUUGACUUUGGGAUAACUUCAGGAAACUGGGGCUAAUACCGGAUAGGAGCUCCUGCUGCAUGGUGGGGGUUGGAAAGUUUCGGCGGUUGGGGAUGGACUCGCGGCUUAUCAGCUUGUUGGUGGGGUAGUGGCUUACCAAGGCUUUGACGGGUAGCCGGCCUGAGAGGGUGACCGGCCACAUUGGGACUGAGAUACGGCCCAGACUCCUACGGGAGGCAGCAGUGGGGAAUAUUGCACAAUGGGCGGAAGCCUGAUGCAGCAACGCCGCGUGCGGGAUGACGGCCUUCGGGUUGUAAACCGCUUUCGCCUGUGACGAAGCGUGAGUGACGGUAAUGGGUAAAGAAGCACCGGCUAACUACGUG